GGGGGUGUACUGGUUUCGACGGGGAUCGUCGGGUGUAUGGUAAGCGAGCUGCGGCCCCUGUACCGCAUAACAACGGGGAAAAAAAACAACUGACAACAAUCAGCAAUUAGCUUUCGCAGCCUAAGGCUGUGAUCGUCGGCCCCAAGCGCUCACGGCUUGAGUUCACCGGCGUCAUUGAUGUGAGGAACAGGACCGCCAAAGCUUUGAGGCGAAUCCGGUAAUAUGAAGCUACCGCGUCCGGCAGCCUGCCUCUUCGGCGUCCGGAUAAGGGAAGUUAAAAUGAGAGGCUCCGCUCGGAGAAAAUCAUAGGUCUGAAUCUUCGGACAGGAGUUCGAUUCUCCUCACCUCCACCA
rnacentral:tmRNA from 1 species